rnacentral:rRNA from 1 species
GACGAACGCUGGCGGCGUGCUUAACACAUGCAAGUCGAACGGAGUUAAGGAGCUUGCUCCUUAACUUAGUGGCGAACGGGUGAGUAACGCGUGAGGAACCUGCCUUUCAGUGGGGGACAACAGUUGGAAACGACUGCUAAUACCGCAUGAUACUAUUGAGUGGCAUCGCUUGAUAGUUAAAGAUUUAUUGCUGAAAGAUGGCCUCGCGUCUGAUUAGCUAGUUGGUGGGGUAACGGCUCACCAAGGCGACGAUCAGUAGCCGGACUGAGAGGAUGAUCAGCCACACUGGGACUGAGACACGGCCCAG